AGAGUUUGAUCCUGGCUCAGAAUCAACGCUGGCGGCGUGCCUCAGACAUGCAAGUCGAACGAUUAAACUCGCCUUCGGGUGAGAUAUAAAGUGGCGCACGGGUGAGUAACACGUAGGUAAUCUGCCUUUGAGUGGGGAAUAACGUUCGGAAACGAACGCUAAUACCGCAUAAUGCAGCGGCACCGCAAGGUGAAUGGUUGUUAAAGGAGCAAUCCGCUUAAAGAGGAGCCUGCGGCAGAUUAGGUAGUUGGUAAGGUAAUGGCUUACCAAGCCUGCGAUCUGUAACCGACCUGAGAGGGUGGUCGGUCACACUGACACUGAAUAACGGGUCAGACUCCUACGGGAGGCAGCAGUCGGGAAUUUUGGGCAAUGGGCGAAAGCCUGACCCAGCAACGCCGCGUGAAGGAUGAAGUAUUUCGGUAUGUAAACUUCGAAAGAAUGGGAAGAAUAAAUGACGGUACCAUUUAUAAGGUCCGGCUAACUACGUGCCAGCAGCCGCGGUAAUACGUAGGGACCAAGCGUUGUUCGGAUUUACUGGGCGUAAAGGGCGCGUAGGCGGCGUGUUAAGUCAGCUGUGAAAUCUCCGAGCUUAACUCGGAACGGUCAGCUGAUACUGAUGUGCUAGAGUGCAGAAGGGGCAAUCGGAAUUCUUGGUGUAGCGGUGAAAUGCGUAGAUAUCAAGAGGAACACCUGAGGUGAAGACGGGUUGCUGGGCUGACACUGACGCUGAGGCGCGAAAGCUAGGGUAGCAAACGGGAUUAGAUACCCCGGUAGUCC
rnacentral:rRNA from 1 species